GGUCAGAGGGAUUCUUGGGUUAGUUCUAUCUAGGAACGUGUUAGGCUAAAAAUGGUAAUAUUUCUUCCUUGGGAAUUUGGCUAAUGCAAGCCAUGAAAUCUACUAGUAUAAGUAGAGAAAGACGUGCCUUGGAUAUGUACCACCUUAAAAAUAAGGUCAUAAGCAUAAGGGCUUUGGUGCUGAAUGAGAGUAGGCACAAAGCAUAAGGGCUAGGGGUCAGAGGGGUUAUUGGGUUAAUUUGAUCUAGAAACAUGUUAGGUAGUGUUUCUGUCUGGAGUGUGACAUGUUAGUCAAUUCAGAAGAGCUGGUAAGACACUUUAUCUAUGUAAAGAUAAAUAUUUAUUAUUAUCCUGAUGAACUACUUUGUGAAAUAAAUAAAACAUUACACUUGUAU
rnacentral:lncRNA from 1 species